GGGGUUGUGGCUCAGUGGUACAGCACUUGCCUUGCAUACAUACGCAAGGCACUGGGUUCAUUCCCCAGCAUCA
rnacentral:tRNA from 1 species